rnacentral:rRNA from 1 species
UUGGAGGGCAAGUCUGGUGCCAGCAGCCGCGGUAAUUCCAGCUCCAAUAGCGUAUAUUAAAGUUGUUGCAGUUAAAAAGCUCGUAGUUGAAUUUCGGGAUCAAUUUAUUGGUCGUGCCAACGGUACGCACUGGUACAAUUGGUUUCUCCCUUCUGACGAAGCAUGAUGUCAUUAAUUUGAUGUCGCGGGGAAUCAGGACUGUUACUUUGAAAAAAUUAGAGUGUUUAAAGCAGGCUUUGGCUUGAAUACAUUAGCAUGGAAUAAUGAAAUAGGACGUUUGAUCUUAUUUCGUUGGUUUCUAAGAUCGACGUAAUGAUUAAUAGGGAUAGUUGGGGGCAUUAGUAUUCAAUUGUCAGAGGUGAAAUUCUUGGAUUUAUUGAAGACUAACUACUGCGAAAGCAUUUGCCAAGGAUGUUUUCAUUAAUCAAGAACGAAAGUUAGGGGAUCGAAGACGAUCAGAUACCGUCGUAGUCUUAACCAUAAACUAUGCCGACUAGGGAUCGGAUGAUGUUAAUUUUUUAAUGACUCAUUCGGCGCCUUACGGGAAAC